ensembl:lncRNA
AUGUGUAAAUAUUUGCCUUCUGUUGUUAUGUUGUUAUUUAUCUGUUGUGAAAGGAAAAAAAUCAACUACAAAGCAAUACGUCUCCCCUCGUGUCCCCUCGACCUUCAGACAGCUGAAGCUACACGUCUUUUCUAAAGCUGCGUUUUACUAUGUGACAAAUUUUACGGAAAAUGAAUAAAUUAUAGGUUUUAUGUGACAUAUCCUGGUGAGCUGGUGGUUUGUUUCGCUGCUGUUUGUUCACUGUGUGGUUGUUUGCCAAAUGCCUUCAAUGUCCAAUGAUGUUAAACUCCCUCUCUGAAGCAUAUAUCAAGGAAGUGGCUGAGAUGGGAAGCUGUUAGAGGAGAAACAGGCCAUUUUCUAUUCUCUGUAAUAGAUUCAAACAAUUUCAAUUCGGGAAAGUAUGAUUUUAAAGCAGAAAAUAAAUUUCAGAAAGGAAAUAUGUACUACUUAACUGAAGCCAUGAAAUAAACUACCAGUUUCACGUUUUCAAAUGACAAGUUCAGUGCCAAAAUGAAAAGAAAUGUUAACAGUUUGAUGCUAUGAUAAAUUCAGAGAGUUGCAGUUCUGGGUUUUGCAUAAACAACACACAACUAAUCCCAGUAGACUCCUUUUGCGAAACAAGUUUAAAUUGAGAGCUUGAUCAUAUAUGUAUAUAUAAAUAUAACCUUAACCCUCCUAAAGAAGGCACCUUGGACUGAACACAAAUCUAAAAAGCUGCACAAAUCUCUUUUUCUUACUUUCUAAGAAAAAUUUGUACUAUUUAACUAGAUCCAUUAAAAAAUCCUCCAGCUGUAACAGUGAGUCAAUAAUUUUUUAGGGAUUUUCAAAUGAACAGGUAAAGGAAAAUAAUCGUAUCUUAAUGAAUCUAUGGCAGCAGCUGAUUCCCAAUGAUCUAAGCAACUUUUUACAAGGGCUGAAAGGAACAUUGGAAAUACAUUUCUGUAGUUUGAUACUGUGAUAACUAAGCACUGUUAUGAUGCAAUAAAAUGCAUCUUAAAAAAUCCAUAAAAUAUAAUAACAUAUACAAAAAUAAAUACCUGAGAUCCACCGGGUGUGACAGAGGUAAACAACUAUUAAUGAUGAGUGGGACAAUAUCUUCUACUCUUUAAUUUCCUAGUAGUCUUUUUAGAGUAUUGGGUUAUUUGUAUAUAUUGUGCUCCUUUUGCACGUUUCUCAUGAGACUGUGGUGUUUGUAAUUCCGAUAAUGUACUUGUUAAAGGGCAUAUAAUUUUUGCACUAUAUCCAUCAAACCACUUGCUGAGGUCAUUAGAACUCACAGAAGAAAUCCAAAUAUUAAUAUCCUAUUCUCUUCUCUUCUAUUCACUCUCUUACCCUGGCCUGCCAACUCAUUCUUUGUUUGUAAUUUAUAUUUCACAUUCAUGCACUCAGGUGCUCUACACCACGCAGAUAGACUGACCUGAUCACAGACAUAACUUUUUUAACUUAUUUGUAUUUCAUGUCUUUCAUGAAAACAUUUAUGUCUCAUGUAAGAGCCAUGUGCGGACUCCCUCUCCACGUCACCAGGUUGUGACAGUGGCCACGUGAGGGCAGCAGAACAGCAAGUCAGUGGGAUGGUGCUCAUCCCUUUCCUCAGGUGUUGUAAUAUUUAGUCAUUUAUCCGCCAUUAUCAUGUCUACGUGUAUGUAAAGUCAGGUUUUUUUAAUAAAGCAAUAUUGUUUGCAUGUUAAAAUAAAAACACUAAGUCCACAAAGCAAGAGGGGACAUGUUAAGGUUUACUGUAAUAUUGUUGAUCUGUUAAAAUAUGCAUGUGUUUUGCAGGUGUGUGCCUGUUGAUAAUGAAAAUGGGCA